UACGUAGGGCGCAAGCGUUAUCCGGAAUUAUUGGGCGUAAAGAGCUCGUAGGCGGUUUGUCGCGUCUGCCGUGAAAGUCCGGGGCUCAACUCCGGAUCUGCGGUGGGUACGGGCAGACUAGAGUGAUGUAGGGGAGACUGGAAUUCCUGGUGUAGCGGUGAAAUGCGCAGAUAUCAGGAGGAACACCGAUGGCGAAGGCAGGUCUCUGGGCCUUACCUGACACUGAGGAGCGAAAGCGUGGGGAGCGAACAGG
rnacentral:rRNA from 1 species